GUUUGUACUUGCACAGUUAAUCAGGGCCCUUACAUUUGUGAAACAAAUACAGUUGAGGCAGAUAGAAUAUGAAGUGGUGCAAAAGAGGCACCUGAUUCAGUUAGUAUCUCAAAAAUGUCUCGUGAGUGUAUUUGAGGAGACAUGAUAAUAAUAUGAGGGAUUUUUCAUCUUAUAAUGUCAAGUGAGGAAAAGCAGCCACCAAGAUUGGAAUCAUGGAAGAGUAAUUUCAAAUUCUAUUUGCUAAUACAAAGAAAAGUUAUGAUAUUCCUGUUGAACACUGUUCUCAUGGAAUUUGGCAUAGUAUGGAGUCCUGUGUUGGUGUCAGUACAGUCACCACCAGGAGCUAGGAAGAGGUCAGCUCUGACAAGUAACUGAGAUUGCAAGGACACUGCCUUCACCCUCCCCACCAAAUGCCCUUAUUAACAUGCACAAGAAGGCUCCACACCCAGCAUGGAGCCCAACACAGGACCUGAACUCAUGACCGUGAGAUGAACAAUGUAUCUGGAAUCAACAGCAGACACCUAAUUGACUGAGGCAACCAAGCACCCCAAGUACAAUUGAUUAUUUAAGGAAUGUCAACAACCUUGAUUUCUUUCCUGAACCUAUGGAGCAACAGUAACAAUCUCUGAUUCACUUAAAGGCACUUGCAGAUUUUUCCCUUCUUCAGCAACCUAUAAGCAGCAGAUAUGGAUGAUAUACAUGACAUCAUUUUCUGUAUUAUCUACUGAAAACACAAAAUGUCCUUUGGUUUCCAGAAGCAGACUAAGGGAAAUUACACUAAUUAUCCUAAAGGCAGACAGAAGGAGAAAGAGAGAAGAGAGAGAGUUGGGAGGGGCAGAGAGAGAGAGGAUCUUAAGCAGGAUCCAUACCCAGUGGGCAGCCUGACACAGAGCUCAAUCACAACCCUGAGAUCAUGACCUAAGCUGAAAUCAAGACUGAGCAAUCUAGGUGCCCCUCUAGUAACCACGUUUAAAAAGUGUCAAUAAGGCCGUGGAAAGAAUAAAACAUACUAUUUGGUGGAAAGAGCUAACUAUCCUGCUGCAAAUGAACACCCUAUGUAUCUCUGACUAAAUUGACUACAUAAUAAAAGCAAAGCAAAUGUUGACAGAUAUUGGCUGGAAAAUAUGUCACGUAGAAAGGGGAUUUCAAUGUGCUUCACUACUGAAAAUAUUUUGCUGGAUUUUGAACCAAGAAUAAGCUAAGUCUGAAUGAUCUAUUCAAUUGUAUCAAGCCCAUCAAUUUCAGAAAACUUGCUCUAUUUCUAUUGUUGGCAAUUGCCAACACUAAACUCCUAAACUCACAAACUCACAAAAAUUAAAGA